ensembl:miRNA Mirlet7b microRNA let-7b
ACCGCAGGGUGAGGUAGUAGGUUGUGUGGUUUCAGGGCAGUGAUGUUGCCCCUUAGAAGAUAACUAUACAACCUACUGCCUUCCCUGAGGGGCCCAGGGA